rnacentral:rRNA from 1 species
GUACGGAAGGCAGCAGUAGGGAAUCUUGCGCAAUGGGCGAAAGCCUGACGCAGCCAUGCCGCGUGAAUGAUGAAGGUCUUAGGAUUGUAAAAUUCUUUCACCGGGGACGAUAAUGACGGUACCCGGAGAAGAAGCCCCGGCUAACUUCGUGCCAGCAGCCGCGGUAAUACGAAGGGGGCUAGCGUUGCUCGGAAUUACUGGGCGUAAAGGGAGCGUAGGCGGAUAGUUUAGUCAGAGGUGAAAGCCCAGGGCUCAACCUUGGAAUUGCCUUUGAUACUGGCUAUCUUGAGUAUGGAAGAGGUAUGUGGAACUCCGAGUGUAGAGGUGAAAUUCGUAGAUAUUCGGAAGAACACCAGUGGCGAAGGCGACAUACUGGUCCAUUACUGACGCUGAGGCUCGAAAGCGUGGGGAGCAAACAGGAUUAGAUACCCUGGUAGA